AACUGGCUAGCUCAGUUGGUAGAGCAUGAGACCCUUAAUCUCAGGGUUGUGGGUUCAAGCCCCACGUUGGGCG